rnacentral:miRNA from 1 species
AUCAGUGGAAAGGGGUUUAUGAUUUCAUGACAACUUCGGGUUUGAUCAUUUUCGGCAAACCCGAACUUAUCAUGAAAUCGAAAACCACUUUUCAUUGGCUUGAUUCC